rnacentral:rRNA from 1 species
AUUGAACGCUGGCGGCAUGCCUUACACUUGCAAGUCGAACGGUAACAGGUCUUCGGAUGCUGACGAGUGGCGAACGGGUGAGUAAUACAUCGGAACGUGCCUAGUAGUGGGGGCUAACUACUCGAAAGAGUGGCUAAUACCGCAUGAGAUCUACGGAUGAAAGCAGGGGAUCGCAAGACCUUGUGCUACUAGAGCGGCCGAUGGCAGAUUAGGUAGUUGGUGGGAUAAAAGCUUACCAAGCCGACGAUCUGUAGCUGGUCUGAGAGGACGAUCGACCACACUGGGCAUAGGGAACGGCCCAGACUCCUACGGGAGAAAGCAGUGGGGAAUUUUGGACAGUGGGCCGAAGCUUGAUCAAGCAUUGCCGCGUGCAGGAUGAGGGCUUUCGGGUUGUAAACUGCUUUUGUACGGAACGAAAAGCCCCGGGUUAAUACCCUGGGGUCAUGACGGUACCGUAAGAAUGAGCACCGGCUAACUACGUGCCAGCCGCCGCGGUAA